rnacentral:lncRNA from 1 species
UUAGUGGUGCAGUGUGCUUUUGAGGAAGGUUUGGUGGCAAAGGUAGAUUUUUAGCCUUAGCAUUUCACAACUGGUGGGCAGAAUUUAGAUGGGCAGAAGCAUUUUAGGAGAUUUUCAGAUUGAGAAAUGGAGGCAUCGAGGUCAAAUCUUUUACCUAAACCACUGAGCAGCAGAGACAGUACUAGAGUCAACAGCUGUUCUGAUGAAAUAGACGUGGUCCUCCAUUCACCACAAAGGCAGAGGUCAAGACUGACAGCAAC